UGAGUAAUGUCUGGGAAACUGCCUGAUGGAGGGGGAUAACUACUGGAAACGGUAGCUAAUACCGCAUAACGUCGCAAGACCAAAGAGGGGGACCUUCGGGCCUCUUGCCAUCAGAUGUGCCCCAGAUGGGAUUAGCUAGUAGGUGGGGUAAUGGCUCACCUAGGCGACGAUCCCUAGCUGGUCUGAAAGGGAUGACCAGCCACACUGGAACUGAGACACGGUCCAGACUCCUACGGGAGGCAGCAGUGGGGAAUAUUGCACAAUGGGCGCAAGCCUGAUGCAGCCAUGCCGCGUGUGUGAAGAAGGCCUUCGGGUUGUAAAGCACUUUCAGCGAGGAGGAAGGUGGUGAGCUUAAUACGCUCAUCAAUUGACGUUACUCGCAGAAGAAGCACCGGCUAACUCCGUGCCAGCAGCCGCGGUAAUACGGAGGGUGCAAGCGUUAAUCGGAAUUACUGGGCGUAAAGCGCACGCAGGCGGUUUGUUAAGUCAGAUGUGAAAUCCCCGGG
rnacentral:rRNA from 1 species